AACAAAUUUUUUUUCAUCAAACCCAUAGGUACGUGUGGGGUAUCUAUGGAUAGGUCUUCAAAAAUGAUAUUGAGGUUUUUAAUAUCAUUUUUUUCUAAACUAAAUAGUUUGCGCGAGAGACACUUCCAAAAUGGUAAAAUGUAUCCCCCCCCCCCUGUAACUUCUAAAAUAAGAGAAUGAUAAAACUAAAAAAAAUAUAUGAUGUACAUUACCAUGCAAACUUCCGCCGAAAAUUGUUUUGAACGAGAUCUAUACAUUAGUUUUCAGGGUUCCGUUCCCAAAGGGUAAAACGGGACCCUAUUACUAAGACUCCGCUGUCCAUCCGUCCGUCCGUCUGUCACCAGGCUGUAUCUCACGAACCGUGAUAGCUAGACAGUUGAAAUUUUCACAGAUGAUGUAUUUAUGUUGCCGCUGUAACAACAAAUACUAAAAAGUACGGAACCCUCGGUGGGCGAGUCCGACUCGCACUUGUCCGGUUU